rnacentral:misc_RNA from 1 species
AAAAACGAAUCCAUCGUUUAAUAAUUAUUAGUAGAAGGACGUUAGGAUAGAGAUACAUGUUAUUAGAAUAAUCAAAAAUAAAGCGAACGGGAGAAUAUGUAAGACUGAUUAAAGACCGUUGAAUAUAUACAGAACAUAUAUUUCGCACUUUUUUCAUGUAUAUAUAUAUAUAUAUAUAUAUGUUUGUGUGUAUGAUUUUUUUUCUUUAUUCUUUUUAUAUUAUUUUUACGUUUUUAUAUCGCUUUUUUGGGGUUCUUAUUUUAGAGUAUAAAAUUGACACUUUUUGAAAAACAUUAUAUACUUGACAAUUUGAGAGAAAAAUACUUAAACCUAAUUUUAUGUAUUUUCUUUUACCUAACACAUAUCAUGUUUUUUUCUUUACAUUUAUGAUUAAAAAAUAUCGUUUCUAUGAUUUGUUCGUUUUGAAUCAAAGUUCUAAUGAUUAUUCGUUUGUUUGUUAAGAUUCGGGUAUUUAUAUAUGUAUUAUGUGUAAAAAGGGAAAUAGAAGAGGAAAAAGAAAGAAAAAAAUAAAAAAAAAUAGAUUUGAAUGUUUUUAAAAUACCUGGUAUAAUAAAUGUUUGUUUAAAGAUUUAUUAUGAUAGUCUAUGCUUAUAGCUUCAACGAAAUUUAUAGCAAUUGGAGCUGCAAUUUUCAUGUUGUUUUUUUUACAAAAAUGUUAUUUUCUACAAAAAAUUAAUUGUUUUUAAAUUUCUGUUAGCUAUAAUUUAGUGGGAAAAGCCGUUUUAAAGCCUUAAUUUGACAAAAAAUGAAUUAUUGUCGUAUUGUGCAAAAACUAUUUUGCUAUAUAUUUCUUAUAAGAGAAAUUAAUCUUCAGACAAAAAUUAUUGAUUUUUUUUCAAAUCUUAUUUAUCAUAAAAGAUUAAAUUACACAUGCCGACUUAUUAUACUAGCAGGUUUUUGCAGCAAAAUAAAAUUCUAAAAAAUAC